CAAAUCCUAAACCCUAAACCCUAAACCAUAAACCCUAAACCCUAAACUCUUAACCCUAAACCCUUAAACCUAAAUGAUAAGUGUGUAUUUUGCAUGUUUUGAGCAUCCAUUUGUCAUCACUUUAGCAUCAUAUCAUCACUGUUUUAUACCAUUUCUCAUCAUUUGUCAUCACUUUACAUGUUUAGGAUAGAUCUGCAUGCAUGUUGCAUAUUUGUGUUGAUUUCAAGUGAUUUGGAGCUGUUGACGAGCUAUCUGGAAGAGCAACCUGAUCAUGUCAAACCACUCGACCCCGAGGUCGAGUAGAAGACAUCACCACUUCACCUCACCACUCGUCCAC
rnacentral:sRNA from 1 species